AAUAAAAUAUUACUAAAUUAAGCUAUACAAUUCAUUUUGAUUGAUCGUGUUAUUUUAUGAGUUGAAUAUAAUAUCCAGUGACUCUUUUGUUUUACCACUAUUCAGUAAUAAUCGAAAUAGAAGUACUUAUUUUUUUACCUCUGAAGUAGUUGCCUUCAAUCAUAUACUCCAUUAUGUAUGACAUAUAGUAAGGAAAUAUCAUGAAUAAUUGAUUCUCAAUUAUCUUCAUUGUAACUACAAAGAAGAAAUAUAAUCAUUGACUUUGUAAAAAAAAGUAAUGUAAUUUUUAGUUUAGAUAAUAAAAAAUAUAUAGUAAUUUCUUAGCUUUAGCUCGUGUAAUGCAACGUAGCAAAUGAUAGACGUCUUUUGGUAUAUUUGUCCUAAUAAUGAAACGUAUGAUAUUAUUCAGGUUAUCUAGUGUAUCAUUUUGCAAUUUUUGAGUUAAUGGUGGUGUGACCACGCCAAAAUUGCAUGUUGUGACAUCACGUCUUACAUAUAUAUUUUCUUUGUUAACAUAAGACACAGCUUUUAUUUCAUCAAAUAGAUCAAAGAAGUACUGGAUAAUUUUCGUGUAAAAGUUUAGAUUUAGUUAUUUGAUUAAUCAAGUUCACAAAUCAACUACUAUUAACACAAUUAUACAAUUUCAAACUAACUAAAUUAUAAUCCUUGCCAAAGAACUUAAUCGAUAUUCUUUUAAUUUUGUUCUUGGCAACUCAAUCAACCUUGUGAUUUUCUCAUUUCGUUUCAUCAUUCAAUCUUCUAGAGUUUCAGUACAUGUUGCAUUUAGUUUUCUAUCUUUGUUGGAAUUGUGUGUGUGUCGUGAAGAACUAGUUAUUAAGUACCAACGAAUAAAUGAAAAGAAGUUAGAGCAAGAUAAAAGAAAAUGGUGUGGAUUUGGUGGACAAUUUGAAGAAAAGAAACUAAGAGCAAUGUAAAUUGUAAGGAGGAUCGUCCUUUAUACAACUAGGAGUGUGUAGUAGUCAUACAAAGGAGUGUCUUCCUUACAAUUUUCAUUGCUCUAUAGUUUCUUUUCUUCCAAUUGCCGGCCAAACCCGCAACAUUUUUCUUUCUCUUACUCUUAACUUUUUUUCAUUUAUUUUUUGGUACCUUAUUGACUUGUUCUUCACAACAAACACAUAAUUCCGAUGAAGAUAGAAUAAUAAAUGCAUCAUAUAAGUAGACACGUAAUUUUAUUCCUCCCAAAAAUUUAAUUUAUUCAUUUUUACCUCGCGUUGUCAUACGCUUGUGAUUAUCCCUUCAUAAAAUGACAAAAAAUAACAACUUUUAACAAAUUUUAUCUUAUUUAAAUCAUCCUAACCUAUCUCUACCCCUCCCUACUCACCACCCCACACCCCCAACCCUAACCCACGUCACCCCAAUCCAUUUUCUCUCUCACGUUUUUUCUUCUUUUCCAUAACAAAAUUACACAUACAGCUAAAAGGAAUGAGGGCCCACAGGGAAUAUUUACCUCAACAGAAUACACACACUCACCACCAGAAAUUCCCUCACGAAUUCACACACACACAUACAUAGUACCACUUUUCCAUUUCCAAAACAAGAAUUCACUCACUGAAAUUCCCAUAGUACAUAGACAUCACUCAUCUUCAACCCCACACAAUUCUCUCACCAUACGCGCACACCACCGCCGUAGACGAGGCACUUACAGAAAAGCUCACCAAAAUUCAUCCACACACAGAGAGUUCGUGAGACCACACAGAUGGGGAGAGGAGCGAUUUGAUGAGAAGAAAGAAAGGGGAUCUGGGCUCUUCUUCUUUACGCACACACAACACACAAAAUCAUCGAGAAACUAUGAAGGCUCAUCAAAAUAACCCAACCAGUGCCUAAAUCCCCAGACAUCUCGUCAGUGUUGUUGAGUUUUAGGCGAAAUCCUUCCGAAAAUGGUAUCUCACUAGCUCGUUAGUCCUAAACCGUCCAUUCGAGCUGAGUCCGGCGAGGUCUCGUCGGAAAUCAUCACACGGGUUCUCGGUUUCGUUUUGGUUUCGGGCUGUUUCGUCUAUUCUGCGCAAUUUUUGUUCGAACUGGUGAAAAGCAGAGAUACUGAGGCUGAGUUGAUUCGUGGAGGUUGGCUCGAGGUUUUCGGCGCGGACUCUGUUUUGUUCAACAGGAUAAUAUUCGAAUAAAAAUAAUAUCGAGUAUUUGAAAAGUGUAUUCAUUUGGCUGGGAAAUGUCCCGAGGUAUUUGUAUUUAUUCACCGAGGAAUGCCCCGACGUACUAUGUUGGCGAAAAAUGAUUGUGAUGAAGGUCCAAGGCAUCGGGUAAAACAACGGAGUUUACCCUAGGACUAGUUUAGAAUAGGAUUUAUAUUUUUUCAUUUUUCUGUUUCGGUUUGUAAUAAUUAGACUGGACAUUAUGAUUUUGGAUUUGUUUUUUUGUUGGUUUGAUUGAUUGUUUUGUGUGUUUU